rnacentral:rRNA from 1 species
UACAGAGGUCUCGAGCGUUAGGCGGAAUCACUGGGCUUAAAGCGUGUGUAGGCGGAUUGGUAAGUCCCUUGUGAAAUCCCACGGCUCAACCGUGGAACUGCUCGGUAUACUGCCUGUCUUGUGCAACCUAGGGGCGAGCGGAACAGAUGGUGGAGCGGUGAAAUGCGUAGAUAUGCGGAGGAACACCGAUGGCGAAGGCAAUCCCCUGGACCUGUACUGACGCUCAUGCACGAAAGCGUGGGGAGCAAACAGG